ACGACGCUGGCGGCGUGCCUAAUACAUGCAAGUCGAGCGAGCGGAACCAACAGAUUUACUUCGGUAAUGACGUUGGGAAAGCGAGCGGCGGAUGGGUGAGUAACACGUGGGGAACCUGCCCCUAAGUCUGGGAUACCAUUUGGAAACAGGUGCUAAUACCGGAUAAUAAAGCAGAUCGCAUGACCAGCUUUGAAAGGCGGCGUAAGCUGUCGCUAAGGGAUGGCCCCGCGGUGCAUUAGCUAGUUGGUAAGGUAACGGCUUACCAAGGCGACGAUGCAUAGCCGAGUUGAGAGACUGACCGGCCACAUUGGGACUGAGACACGGUCCAAACUCCUACGGGAGGCAGCAGUAGGGAAUCUUCCACAAUGGACGCAAGUCUGAUGGAGCAACGUCGCGUGAGUGAAGAAGGUUUUCGGAUCGUAAAGCUCUGUUGUUGGUGAAGAAGGAUAGAAGUAGUAACUGGCCUUUAUUUGACGGUAAUCAACCAGAAAGUCACGGCUAACUACGUG
rnacentral:rRNA from 1 species